rnacentral:misc_RNA from 1 species
AGACAAGCAUAUGACUACUGGCAGGAUCAACCAGGUAGCAUUCCUCAUCGACGCCAAUCACCGCAUGAKCCGAGCCAAGAGACUCGACCCAAAACGGGAAGGGACGUCGUCCGCAUGAAGCGUAGAACACUUUUGUUUUCGGGGCAAAUAGAGGUCAAGGACCUCGUACCGCGUCGGUCAUCAGCAUCCGAGAGAUCGAGCAUAACGACAUGGGCCAACGACCAAAGAGCGCCUGAGAGCGCACARGAUCGUGGAACACRACGAAUGCUUCAACGUCCACCCCACACCGCAGCCACAAAGGGCGCAGCACAAGGAGGAAAGGGACAUUCRGACUACAACAUGCCUUCUCGAUAGGUAUACAACACAGGAAACCAUCRUCGGUCAAGGCAAUCCGCAACUUGAGCCAACAAUUGAAGAGGCRUGCACGAGAUGCCGUCGCUGCCCGAGCAGGGAACCGACAYGCCCAUACAAGCCAAUCACCACUCACGCGCUCU